rnacentral:lncRNA from 1 species
GGACUCUUGGACGAGACUGGUGCAAAAUAGUCCUGUGUCGAAACAAUAUAUUCAAUUAAAUAUAGGAAACUUUUCUUGCUCUGAUGCGAAUCUUAAAUCUGUAAAUGUAGGAGUUAAAUGUAGGCUUGUUUCCCAUCUCCUGUGACACCGAUGGGUGGAAGAGAGGAGAUCUCUUUAGAUAAAUAAGCUGCACUGGGAAAUGCGCCCCCGGCUAAGGUUCCUCCUGGAAGUGACGCCUCCCUGCACUGCAAACAUUCUCUCCCCAGCACCCGUCUCAGUUCCAAGCCAAACCCGUUCUGCAGCAUGCUUUUGUACCUUUCCAGACACUGAUCUGAAUCAGCUUGCCAGGUCUUUAAAACUCUUUUGCUUCUUUCAUUACUUAAAAGCCUCUUUCUUUUCUUUAAGCCUUUGAGUGAAUCAUCAAAUUAACAUCUAAAAAGAUUGAGCAGCCUUUGGGCCCACGAAGGCUGUGGACUUCGAACCAACCACACCAUAAAGAGCAGGACCUGGGAGGGGGCUUUGCAGGUGGAUGUGCCCAGAUUUUUCUCUACCUCUUUUGUCUCCUGUAUCUUUCCGGUUCUGUGGACUCGUCUGUGAAGAGGGCUGUGAAGAAAGUCAUGUAUCUCCUGUAUCGUUAUCGUGCCUUCUGAUGAUUGAGUUCCUUGGUGCAUUUAACCUCAGGAAAAUUCUGGGCAUACCCUUAGAAAUUGGGGUAACCUCCAGUAAAACCCAUGUUUCUCCUUUUCCUGACCUCGUGAUGUGCCAUGGUCUCUACAGAGCUCCUGCCAAAACCUGCCGCUUGCAAUUAGAGGUGGAGGUGGAGAGCGCGAUGGGGGCUCUAGGAGGUAGACGGCUGUCUUGCGUCUGCAUUUGUCCAGAAGGGCUGCUGUCUAAAGGCAAACAAGGCUCUGGGAGACUGGAUUCUGCAUAUGAAAGAUGUUUCCAAGGCGCGAAUGCACUGCUUACUCUGUGUGCGGAGCGUCUUGGGGGCAAUGGGCAUUCUAGAAGCAGUGUAGAGCGCUGGUUACUGCAGUGAUGGGCACGUUUCUACCACACCAUCGGUGAAAGGGAC